rnacentral:rRNA from 1 species
ACGGGAGGCCGCAGUGGGGAAUAUUGCACAAUGGGGGAAACCCUGAUGCAGCGACGCCGCGUGAGUGAAGAAGUAUUUCGGUAUGUAAAGCUCUAUCAGCAGGGAAGAAAAUGACGGUACCUGACUAAGAAGCUCCGGUUAAAUACGUGCCAGCAGCCGCGGUAAUACGUAUGGAGCAAGCGUUAUCCGGAUGUACUGGGUGUAAAGGGAGCGUAGACGGGACAGCAAGUCUGAUGUGAAAGGCGGGGGCUUAACCCCUGGACUGCAUUGGAAACUGUUGACCGUGAGUGCCGGAGAGGUAAGCGGAAUUCCUAGUGUAGCGGUGAAAUGCGUAGAUAUUAGGAGGAACACCAGUGGCGAAGGCGGCUUACUGGACGGUAACUGACGUUGAGGCACGAAAGUGUGGGGAGCAAACAGGAUUAGAUACCCUGGUA